CCUACGGGAGGCUGCAGUGAGGAAUAUUGGUCAAUGGGCGCGAGCCUGAACCAGCCAAGUCGCGUGAGGGAAGACGGUCCUAUGGAUUGUAAACCUCUUUUGUCGGGGAGCAAAAGACGCCACGCGUGGCGUUCCGAGAGUACCCGAAGAAAAAGCAUCGGCUAACUCCGUGCCAGCAGCCGCGGUAAUACGGAGGAUGCGAGCGUUAUCCGGAUUUAUUGGGUUUAAAGGGUGCGCAGGCGGAAGAUCAAGUCGGCGGUAAAAUUGGGCGGGUCAACCUCUUCGUGCCGGUGAAACUGGUAGUGUUGAGUAGGCGAGAAGUAGGCGGAAUGCGUGGUGUAGCGGUGAAAUGCAUAGAUAGCACGCAGAACUCCGAUUGCGAAGGCAGCAUACCGGCGCUCAACUGACGCUCAUGCACGAAAGUGUGGGUAUCGAACAGGAUUAGAUACCCCAGUAGUC
rnacentral:rRNA from 1 species